rnacentral:rRNA from 1 species
CCUACGGUGUGCAGCAGUCGAGAAUCAUUCUCAAUGGGGUUAACCCUGAUGGUGCGACGCCGCGUGGGGGAAUGCAGGUCUUCGGAUUGUAAACCCCUGUCAUGUGGGCGCAACUUCAAAUGAUAGUACCCCAACUGGAAGAGCCGGCUAACUCUGUGUCAGCAGCCGCGGUAAAACAGAGGUCUCAAGUGGUGUUCGGAAUAACUGGGCGUAAAGCUUGUGUCGGGUGUUUCGUAAGUCGUGUGUGAAAGGCGCGGGGAUAACCCGCGGACGGCACAGGAUACUGCGGGACUAGAGUAAUGGAGGGGGAACCGGAAUGCGCGGUGUAGCAGUGAAAGGCGUAGAUA